rnacentral:ncRNA from 1 species
CAUGGUUUUUUUAAUUCAUUAUUUAUUUAUUUUACAUAUAAAUUUUAGUGAAUAUUUUUAAUUUUUUUAAAAAUAAUUAAUUUUUUAUAGUAGUAAUUAUUAUUAAAAAUUUAAGAAAUUAUGAUUUAGUAAUAUAAAAUUUUUAAUAACAAAUUUUGUGCCAGCAGUUGCGGUUAUACAAAAAUUUAUAUGAAUUUUAUUAGUGAUUAAUUAAAAGUUUAAAUUUUAUUAUUUUAAAUGUUAAAUUAUUAAGUGAAAUUUUAAUUUAAUUAAAAAAUAAGUUAUUUUUGAUUUUAAUAAAUUUAAAAAAUUAAACUAGGAUUAGAUACCCUAUUAUUAUAAAUUUAAAUUUUGAAUACUAAAAUAGUAAUUAUUAUUAAUAUUGAAACUUAAAUGAUUUGGCGGUAUUUUAGUUUAUUCAGAGGAAUCUGUUUAAUAAUUGAUAAUCCACGAAUAAAUUUACUUAAUUUUUUUUUUAUUUUAUAUAUCGUUGUUAAAAAAAUAUUUUUAAAUAAUAAAUAAUAUUUUAAAAUUUUUAAUUAAAAUUAAAUCAGAUCAAGAUGUAGAUUAUAAUUAAGAAUAUAAUGGAUUACAAUAAAUUUAUUUAAAUGAAUGUUAAUUUGGAAAAAUUAAUUAAAGGUGGAUUUGAAUGUAAUUUUAUUUAGUUUAUUAAAAUGAUUAAUAAUUAAAAUAUGUACAUAUUGCCCGUCGCUUUCAUUUAUAAAUUGAAAUAAGUCGUAACAAAGUAGAGGUACUGGAAAGUGUUUCUAGAAAGAU